AUGGGGAGAGGAUUUGGGCACUCAAGUUGGGGAGCCAGAAAGGCCUCAGGACCUCCACUGGUAGAGAAGCAAAGAAGGCAUGCAAUGAAGUACAGGAUAGUGAAAAAAAACGCGCAAGCCUAUCAAGAAAUUGUCAAGUAUGCUGCCCUUCACACAGAGGGUGGAAUGCGACAUAUAUUCGCUGGACGGAAAUUUUUUGACAUGGAUAGUCGAACUUCUAAAAAAUUGGCAUAUCGAUCUUUCUAUGAUGAGGAGGCUCCAAGAGGAGAUGUAGAAGUCAAUUUCAAGUGGGCAGAAAUCGAGCUUAGUAUAAUGUACGACAACCUCUACACGAAAUCUCGGGUUAUUCAAACAAUGCCUGGCACCAUCCUUCGGUGUGUCUCCCUCGUCUCCACAGUGGUUGCCUUUGUGCUCUAUGUCAAGAUUAUGAGUAGUAGUGCCGAUGCCGAGCAAACAGCAGCUGCGUACAACGAUGAGUAUAGAAGAAGUAUAGUUGAUGCAACGGUCACCUAUAUAUUAUUCAUUGGAGCAUUUUGUUUGGAAGCUUGCUCGCUCUUCAUCAUGAUGGUGUCACCGUGGGAGUGGCCAUUCUUGGAAGCUCGAUCUGGAUGGCGUCAUCUGCUGCUCAGUCGAGUGGCCUGGCCUAUCUUUGUGAGGAUCCAACCAGAGACCAAGGCAUGGUGGUCAAACUCAAUGGGGCAGUACAACUUGUUUGGCUCCAGCAGGAGCAUGUCAGUUCAAGAUCACAAGAAGUGGAGUAGCAUCAUUGUGAAGGCACAUAAGAUGGCAGGCGUAUUUGGAGUUAGUGAUCUGUGGAACAAGAUAAGCAGCGUCAAGCAUGCCCAAGUCAAGAGGGAGGUCAAGGAGCUCAUUAAUGAGUCGAUAGGCCGUGAGCCCGUCCGUGUCCCAAGUGCUUAUAGGUUACUACUUACCCUACCCUUCGAGCAGGCCUUGGUGACACUACACCUUUGGACAGAUGUGGUGCUGCACAAGGUGGCCAAGUCGACAAUGAUGAUCAGUAGUAGUGGUCGGCCGCAGGUUGACGUAGCUACCCAAGAAAAAGAGGCAGAAUGGCGACGCCUUAUGGAUAACUGCAAGAUGGUAUCUGAAUACGUGUUGUACCUGAUGGUGGUGCAUCCUUCCAUGUUACCAGUCAGCACCAAUGUGCAAGAUGUAUUGGCAUUGCACUCGGACUUGGUCAGGGGUGCAUCCAACAAGGACGACAUUCCUGACUGUUAUAGUGGCAGUCCUGAUCUCAUUGUGGACUAUCCUAGCGAUGGUAGCAUGUCUAGUCUGGACUGGAUGGUGAAGCAGAUGGAAUCGGCCGUGGAAAAUUCUGUUCGUCCUGACAAGGUAUUCUGGUCGGAGCAAAGAGCGGUACUGGAAAAACAAGGGAGCAUCGAUGCGGAGCUGGAGAUACUGGAGCAGGUGUGGGUGCGGAUGCUGGUCUACGCAGCCGGAAAGUGCCGCCCGGAAGAGCAUGCCCGACGGCUGAGCACUGGGGGAGAGCUCAUCACCUUCGUUUGGCUGCUCAUGGUGUAUAAGAGGCUUGGAGACGUGGGCUUCAAUAAUGUCAGUCUUAUCAAAGAUGAUUUCAGCCUGGUAUAUCUUUUCGAUUUGGAGGAUUCUGUUAAAAAGGAGGACGAGCUAUGUCCAGCCAACUUGACUUAA
rnacentral:rRNA from 1 species